rnacentral:rRNA from 1 species
GUGUCAGCCGCCGCGGUAAUACGUAGGGGGCAAGCGUUGUCCGGAUUUAUUGGGCGUAAAGGGUACGUAGGCGGCUAGAAAAGUUAGAAGUCAAAGGCUAUAGCUCAACUAUAGUAAGCUUCUAAAACUAUUUAGCUUGAGAGAUGGAAGGGAAAGUGGAAUUCCUAGUGUAGCGGUGGAAUGCGCAGAUAUUAGGAGGAAUACCGGUGGCGAAGGCGACUUUCUGGCCAUUAACUGACGCUGAGGUACGAAAGCGUGGGUAGCAAACAGGAUUAGAAACCCCUGUAGUCC